rnacentral:rRNA from 1 species
AUGGCUCUGCAACACCCAUUUACUGCUCAAAAGGUUGUUGAGGGUUUCUUGGAUAAUGUUUACAAACUGCAUGGUAUGCUUGAACUCAUUGUGUCUGACAGAGAUCCUCUCUUUACUAGUAAUUUCUGGCAAACCCUGAUCAAUAGAACUGGUACUCACUUAAAUAUGAGCUCGGCUUAUCAUCCGGAUACUAAUGGGCAGACUAAACGAGUCAACCAGCGGGUCAAGUGCUAUCUGAGAAGCUUCAUCAGCUCUCACCCCACUAAAUGGAGCACGUGGUUAUCGCUUUGUGAGCUUUGGUACAACACGAAAUGGCAUUCUGCUAUGGGCAAGUCACCGUUUGAGGUUUUGUAUGGACAACCUCCCAGAUACUUUGGUAUUUCCCCAUCUGACACCAUUCCUCCCUUGGACAUCCAACAGUGGCUGCAAGAUCGACAGGUGGUAGUUGAGUCUGUCAGGCAACACAUGCUCCAGGUACAAUAG